rnacentral:rRNA from 1 species
AAGCGUGGGGAGCGAACAGGAUUAGAUACCCUGGUAGUCCACGCUGUAAACGAUGAGCACUGGUUGUUGGCAAUACACCGUCAGCGACUGAGCGAAAGUAUUAAGUGCUCCACCUGGGGAGUACGUCGGCAACGAUGAAACUCAAAGGAAUUGACGGGGGCCCGCACAAGCGGAGGAACAUGUGGUUUAAUUCGAUGAUACGCGAGGAACCUUACCUGGGCUUAAAUGUAGAGUGCAUUGCUUGGAAACAGGCAUUUUCUUCGGAACUCUUUACAAGGUGCUGCAUGGUUGUCGUCAGCUCGUGCCGUGAGGUGUCGGGUUAAGUCCCAUAACGAGCGCAACCCCUAUUGUUAGUUACCAGCACGUAAUGGUGGGGACUCUAGCAAGACUGCCGGUGUAAACCGUGAGGAAGGUGGGGAUGACGUCAAAUCAGCACGGCCCUUAUGUCCAGGGCUACACACGUGUUACAAUGGCAAGUACAAAGAGCAGCCACCUGGCGACAGGGCGCUAAUCUCAAAAGCUUGCAUCAGUUCGGAUCGAAGUCUGCAACUCGACUUCGUGAAGGUGGAUUCGCUAGUAAUCGCGCAUCAGCCAUGGCGCGGUGAAACGUUCCCGGGCAUUGUACACACCGCCCGUCAAGCCAUGGAAGCC